GGAGGGUGCAAGCGUUAAUCGGAAUUACUGGGCGUAAAGCGUGCGCAGGCGGUUUGUUAAGUCUGUUGUGAAAUCCCCGAGCUCAACUUGGGAAUUGCAAUGGAUACUGGCAGGCUGGAGUAUGGUAGAGGAAGGUGGAAUUCCCGGUGUAGCAGUGAAAUGCGUAGAGAUCGGGAGGAACACCAGUGGCGAAGGCGGCCUUCUGGACCAAUACUGACGCUCAUGCACGAAAGCGUGGGGAGCAAACAGG
rnacentral:rRNA from 1 species